GACGAACGCUGGCGGCGUGCUUAACACAUGCAAGUCGAACGGAAAGGCCCUGCUUUUGUGGGGUGCUCGAGUGGCGAACGGGUGAGUAACACGUGAGUAACCUGCCCUUGACUUUGGGAUAACUUCAGGAAACUGGGGCUAAUACCGGAUAGGAGCUCCUGCUGCAUGGUGGGGGUUGGAAAGUUUCGGCGGUUGGGGAUGGACUCGCGGCUUAUCAGCUUGUUGGUGGGGUAGUGGCUUACCAAGGCUUUGACGGGUAGCCGGCCUGAGAGGGUGACCGGCCACAUGGGGACUGGGAUACGGCCCAGACUCCGACGGGAGGCAGCAGUGGGGAAUAUUGCACAAUGGGCGGAAGCCUGAUGCAGCAACGCCGCGUGCGGGAGGACGGCCUUCGGGUUGUAAACCGCUUUCGCCUGUGACGAAGCGUGAGUGACGGUAAUGGGUAAAGAAGCACCGGCGAACUACGU
rnacentral:rRNA from 1 species